rnacentral:misc_RNA from 1 species
UGUGAAUAUUGACAUUUAACAAGUACUUGGUGAAUGCUGUUUAUUUUAUAAGAUUUGUUGCAUGAAGUGGACAUAUAUGCGUAAAAUUUCCUGCUUAGUCGGGGUAAUAGUCCAUUUGGUUGCUUCAGGAAGAUUUGAAAUUAUGAAUCACUCUGAAUCUUACAGGUUUUUGGUUUGGCUUUUCUAUUUUCACUAAUUUCUUUGCAUUCAAAUGGCAUUAACAUGGACACGAGUGUCAUCUUCUCAUGGACAUGGGUGCCAAAGAUGUUGCAAAAUCUUUUAGACGGACAUGGCUAUUUAUAAUUUUGUUUGAGAAUGUAAAUAUAUGUCUUAUAAGUUUAUAUUCUGCCCUUUUCAACUUUUUUGCCUUAAAAUCUAUUGGAUUACUUUGAAAUUGCCUAGAUUUGUGACUGAAUGGUUUCAGAUUGAUUUAUUGCAUACUUAGGUUUCAUUUACACUUUUUUGCAGUCACAUUUUUCUUAUAUUU